rnacentral:rRNA from 1 species
AACGAACGCUGGCGGCAGGCUUAACACAUGCAAGUCGAACGCCCCGCAAGUAGAACGUCGGUCUUAUGGGUAACGCGUGGGGGCCUGCCGUUUAAUUCAUCGCAACUCCCUUUAACGGGGGCGAAAACCUGGGAAACCCUACCCUAAUACCGUUUAUGACCUACGGAUCAACGCACGUCAUAUUCGGUCCUUGCGCAGUUGACUGCGCAGAAGUCGGACUAGCUAUAUCGCGGGGUAAAGGCUCACCAAGGCGACUAUCCGUAGCUGGUCUGACAGAAUGAUCAGCCACACUGGAACUGAGACACGGUCCAGACUCCGACGGGAGGCAGCAGUGGGGAAUAUCGGACAAUGGGCGCAAGCCUGAUCCAGCCAUAUCGCGUGGGUGAAGAAGGCCUUCUGGUUGUAAAGCCCUGUUGUUGUGAAAGUAAAGCAGCAGGUUAAUACCCCGCUGUUCUGACGGUACCCAAAGAAUAAGCACCGGCUAACUUCGUG